AUCAGAAGAAUUGUGUUUUUGGGAGCGAAAAACAAUUGUACAAAUUCUUAAGUGUAGCAGUUCUUGUUGUCUUUUAAAUGAAACUUUCUUUUUAAUGUCUGUUCAAUGGCUUUAGGUUAAUGUUGUAGUGGUAUUUGCUUCCUUUUUAUGGAUGUUGUUUAUGUAACAUUGAGGUAGCAUAUUUAAUAUGCUUAAUGUUUUGUUUCUUUAAAAGUUGUCUGUUAAAAUGUGCUUUGUAUUUAACCACAGUGCAAGACCAUUCCCAGAGCUCAUGUUGGCUAGGUUCUCCUGAAAUCUCAUUAGUGUUACUGUCUCAGCGUUCUGACAUCUCACACUCUCUCGCUAAAUCUUUCUCCCCUUGACUCUUAACCCUUCCUCAUGUCACACUCUGUAUUUCACCAGAGAAUGAUGAAUUUAAUCUCACACUCUUAACCGUCCCCUGAUUUUUGUUCCUCACUGGCACUUUAAAUGGCGUCCUACACGGUGGUCAUCGUCCCUCUCCAGAGCAGCAUCAACAGCCUGGAUGCCUUGCGAUUCUUUCUAUGGGUGAAAAAUCUACAGGAACUAGAGAGGGAGAGGGACGCACUGUGUCUGGGGCUUCAGGCUUUGGAACAGGCUUGGGCCUCCCUCUCCUAUAGACAGGAAAACAGCCCUAGGCAGGUUAGUGUGGGUAUAUUGGGAUGCAGUAAUGAUUGGAUUGAUGCACUGUGAUGUGGUCUGAAAGUGGAAAUUUAGCAAUAUCCAUUAGACAAAGUUAUAAUUGGUAAUAAUAGAUGUCUGUUAGUAAUUUUUUUAGAAGUAGGGUUAUUUUUUAGAGAGGUUUGUGGAUAAAAUGUACAAAAACUAAAUCCAAAUAACAUGAUUGAUGUAUUAUUUUAGGAAAUAAGCACUGCCCCUCUGUGGGCUCAGAUGCAGAGGAUAAACAGAACAUUGCACAGUCUAAUGUGUAGCACUCCCAGGUAACACAAACUAUUAACAUUACACUGCAUGCAUUACAGCAGCUCAUUUUUUCAUAUUUGUCUUUUAUAUUAUUGGUCACUAAUAGGAAGUUCAUUCUAGAGGAAAGUUCAUUCACAUUGCAUGCUCUAAAAAUGACAUAUUUUAAAUAAGAAAUCAACAAAUGACUCCAGAAGAUAAUGAUUCAGUAUGUCAAUAUUAAUCAUUAAUUCCAUACUUCUAAUUUUGGUGUAAAACCAAGAAUAUUGCACAGAAAAUGUCAUGGAAAAUGAGAACAGUGUGAGAUGUGACUACUGUUCAUAAUUACAGAGUGAUAUAUAAUAAUAUAUUAAGCAGCCCUAACUAAUACUAGUGCAUUCUGCAUAAUACAAAAAUGUAUACAUUUCUGACUUCAAAAUAAAAUGAACAAUUUUGUAAAAAAAAACA
rnacentral:lncRNA from 1 species